AUUGAACGCUGGCGGUAUGCUUAACACAUGCAAGUCGAACGGCAGCACAGUAUGUAGCCAUGCAUAUGGGUGGCGAUUGGCGGACGGGUGAGUAACGCGUAGGAAUCUACCCUAAAGCGGGGGACAACACGAGGAAACUCGGGCUAAUACCGCAUAAUACAGAAAGGAUAAAGCUGGGGCAACCUGGCUAUUUUGGGCGAGCCUGCGUCCGAUGAGCUAGUGUGUGAGGUAAAGGCUCACCAAGGCGAUGAUCGGUAGCUGGUCUGAGAGGAUGAUCAGCCACAAUGGAACUGAGACACGGGCCAGACUCCUACGGGAGGCAGCAGUGGGGAAUAUUGGACAAUGGGGGCAACCCUGAUCCAGCGAUACCGCGUGUGUGAAGAAGGCCUUAGGGUUGUAAAGCACUUUAGUUGGGGAAGAAGGAUAGAUGUUUAAGAGAUGAUUAUUUUGACGGUACCCAAAGAAGAAGCACCGGCUAACUCUGUGCCAGCAGCCGCGGUAA
rnacentral:rRNA from 1 species